GAGAAUUUCAAUUAGACCACAGUCUUAGCACCUUCCAGCACCUACAGAUUUGAAAGUUACCGAGUUCUGAGGUAUUGCCAGUGCCUGAGAAGAUGCUGACUUUGGCCAUGUUUCAAAGCAGUGCGUGUAUACAACUUUACCGCAGAGGCCACGAAGCUGCACAGAAACCACUAUCCCUCGACAUACCACAACCCAGCUAACUGCCCUAUGGAAGAAAUGGAAUGAAUUUAGUGCACUGAAAUCACCUUGGAAUUCUCAGAGUCCAUGUGCCCACUGACUGCUUCUUACGUGACAUUUUCUGAGCCAAAUUUCCCCAUGUGCUUCGUGGUAAGGGUGUACUCAUCCUGCAUUUUGGACAUUUCCUAGGACUGCUGAAACAAACGAAAGCAAGUCAGGACAGUGUUGAGAAGGAAGAGAAAUAAUAAAAGACCCCUUCUCAGCCAAACAUUCAAACUCUGGCAGUUUCAGCAAAAUAAAGGGGUGUAGAAAAAGUCCCACCAUAGCCCUGGCCCUGCCAUGUAAGAAGGCAUGUCGCAAAAUUGUUCUACUUAGAAAAAAGUUUUAACUGAAU
rnacentral:lncRNA from 1 species